AUUGAACGCUGGCGGCAGGCCUAACACAUGCAAGUCGAACGAGUGGCGGACGGGUGAGUAAUGUCUGGGAAACUGCCCGAUGGAGGGGGAUAACUACUGGAAACGGUAGCUAAUACCGCAUACCAUCGGAUGUGCCCAGGUGGGAUUAGCUAGUAGGUGGGGUAACGGCUCACCUAGGCGACGAUCCCUAGCUGGUCUGAGAGGAUGACCAGCCACACGGGAACUGGAACCGGGGCCGGACUCCUAGGGGGGGCAGAGGUGGGGAAUAUUGCACAAUGGGCACAGGCCGGAUGCAGCAAUGCCGGGUGUAUGAAGAGGGCCUUCGGGUUGUAAAGGACUUUCAGCGAGGAGACGUUACUCGCAGAAGAAGCACCGGCUAACUCCGUGCCAGCAGCCGCGGUAAUAC
rnacentral:rRNA from 1 species